rnacentral:rRNA from 1 species
GACGAACGCUGGCGGCGUGCCUAAUACAUGCAAGUCGAGCGGACUAAUGGGAGCUUGCUCCCGUUAGUUAGCGGCGGACGGGUGAGUAACACGUGGGCAACCUACCUGUAAGACUGGGAUAACUUCGGGAAACCGGAGCUAAUACCGGAGGACAUAAAGGAACUCCUGUUCCUUUAUUGAAAGAUGGCUUCGGCUAUCACUUACAGAUGGGCCCGCGGCGCAUUAGCUAGUUGGUGAGGUAACGGCUCACCAAGGCGACGAUGCGUAGCCGACCUGAGAGGGUGAUCGGCCACACUGGGACUGAGACACGGCCCAGACUCCUACGGGAGGCAGCAGUAGGGAAUCUUCCGCAAUGGACGAAAGUCUGACGGAGCAACGCCGCGUGAGCGAUGAAGGCCUUCGGGUCGUAAAGCUCUGUUGUUAGGGAAGAAUAAGUGCUAGUUGAAUAAGCUGGCACCUUGACGGUACCUAACCAGAAAGCCACGGCUAACUACGUGCCAGCAGCCGCGGUAA